UUUAUACUCCCUCCACCCCGAAUUAGUUGUCUUAGAUUUGUCUAGAUACAGACGUAUCUAGACACGUUUUAGUGUUAGAUACAUCCAUAUCUAGACAAAUCUAAGACAACUAAUUUGGGAUGGAGGUAAUAGUUU
rfam:Triticum aestivum genome assembly, contig: Triticum_aestivum_CS42_TGACv1_scaffold_577620_7BL